rnacentral:rRNA from 1 species
UACGGGGGGAGCAAGCGUUGUUCGGAUUUACUGGGCGUAAAGGGCGCGUAGGCGGCCACCGCAAGUCAGUUGUGAAAUCUCUGGGCUUAACCCGGAAAGGUCAAUCGAUACUGCGGGGCUAGAGUGCAGAAGGGGCAACUGGAAUUCUCGGUGUAGCGGUGAAAUGCGUAGAUAUCGAGAGGAACACCUGCGGCGAAGGCGGGUUGCUGGGCUGACACUGACGCUGAAGCGCGAAAGCUAGGGGAGCGAACGGG